ACACGGUGAUCGGCAGGGGCUCAGUCUGACGGUCACGCCAGUGUUGGUGAUGACACGACGGGGGUUGGCGUGUUGCCUCGUCGGCGUCGUCGCCUUCCUGACCUGCUGUGUCGCCCAAGAUGCGGUCACCGAUGAGGUCGCAGGCGCGGACCCCCAUACCACCACUGAGAGUACCUCUAUGGGAGGCGACCCGUUCGGUCCGAGUGACCUGAGCGGCCCGGCCGGUACGGCCACGUGUCGCCACUGGCCGUCCCUACAGUGCAGCCAGCUCUCCUGCUCGGGCCGUGGAGUUAUCGACUGUCGAGACCGAGAGUCGUCAGUCGCUGAUGACGACGUCAUCCGUAUGCUAGCCACCUCAUUCUACAUACAUCUGAAAAGUACUCUUCUGGCCGGAUUUGUCCGCAACUCCACCUUAUCAGCCCAGCUACAAAAUGCCAGCCGCAGCGCGAGUAUCGAAGCUUCGAAUGGGAAAACAUCCAAGGGCGAUGCAUCAGAAGGUCAUGCGGUUAUUAUGACGAGACAAAAUAAUGUGACAGUGUUACCAGUUUCGCAGCAAGACGGCGACACGCCUUUCAAUGUUGAUCGUUCAAACCUCGGUAUUGACGGAGUCACAUAUAUACCGUUAGAUGAAAUGGCAGUAGGUGCUGCAGGCCGCACUUUGGGAGAAUCAGACAGUAAAAGUCUAAAAGAUAAAACGGAAAUCGCCUUUUCUGAGCGCAAGGGCAUUGCCUCUCAUGAUGAAACGCUAGCCAAUGCCAAUAAUGGAAGCACAAGUA